rnacentral:rRNA from 1 species
GAUCAUGGCUCAGAUUGAACGCUGGCGGCAGGCCUAACACAUGCAAGUCGAACGGUAACAGGAAGCAGCUUGCUGCUUCGCUGACGAGUGGCGGACGGGUGAGUAAUGUCUGGGAAACUGCCUGAUGGAGGGGGAUAACUACUGGAAACGGUAGCUAAUACCGCAUAACGUCGCAAGACCAAAGGGGGGGACCUUCGGGCCUCUUGCCAUCGGAUGUGCCCAGAUGGGAGUUAGCUUGG